GCCUGGGUGGCUCGGUCAGUUAAGCGUCUGACUUUGGCUCAGGUUAUGAUCUCACAGUUCGUGGGUUCGAGCCCCAUGUCGGGCU
rfam:Felis catus isolate Cinnamon breed Abyssinian chromosome B3, whole genome shotgun sequence.